rnacentral:rRNA from 1 species
UUAGCGGCGGACGGGUGAGUAACACGUGGGCAACCUGCCCUGCAGAUCGGGAUAACUCCGGGAAACCGGUGCUAAUACCGAAUAGUUUGCCGUUCCUCCUGGAACGGUACGGAAAGACGGUUUCGGCUGUCACUGCAGGAUGGGCCCGCGGCGCAUUAGCUAGUUGGUGGGGUAAUGGCCCACCAAGGCGACGAUGCGUAGCCGACCUGAGAGGGUGAUCGGCCACACUGGGACUGAAACACGGCCCAGACUCCUACGGGAGGCAGCAGUAGGGAAUCUUCCGCAAUGGACGCAAGUCUGACGGAGCAACGCCGCGUGAGUGACGAAGGUUUUCGGAUCGUAAAACUCUGUUGUGAGGGAAGAACAAGUACCAACUAACUACUGGUACCGUGACGGUACCUCACCAGAAAGCCACGGCUAACUACGUGCCAGCAGCCGCGGUAAUACGUAGGUGGCAAGCGUUGUCCGGAAUUAUUGGGCGUAAAGCGCGCGCAGGCGGUCCUUUAAGUCUGAUGUGAAAGCCCACGGCUCAACCGUGGAGGGUCAUUGGAAACUGGAGGACUUGAGUG